GUGACCUCCCGGGAAGUCC
rnacentral:snRNA from 1 species